AAGGACCUGAACCUUUCAUUCCACUACCCUUAAAGAACCUUGACAUUGUUCAAUCGGAGGAACGACGGAUCUUCCCAUUUCGCCUCUUCAAGUUACAAGUUCGCCCAUUGCACCAACCAUUGUGAAACUUCUCUAUUUCUUCGCUUCUCUACCCUACGAUCCAGCACUACAAUGGGUUCAGUCAAGACCCUACUAUCAUUAGCACAAUAUGGUGGAUCUUGAGAUGCAAAAAUCUGAUCCGCAAUCUUCUUUUUGAGUUGCGAAACGUGAAAAAUUGGAUUAAUUUUGGAUCCUUGUGGUAGCUUGAGUUCAUAUGCAACUGGACUGAUCUUUUUUACAACCUCGUUCGGACCGAAAUACCUCGCUGAAAACUUUAAAUUUUGGCGAAUAGCGACCGAGCUGUGACUGUAAGGUUGUAAUUUAAAAAAUACCCAGUCACCCACUUCGAAUUUCGUUCAAUUCUUUGGUUAUCUGCGAAGUGUUUCAUUCUAUUCUACGCUUUGAUUAGAUUAUCCUUUAAAACUUUACCCAUUAAUUGCCGAUCUCUAAGUACUUGAUCCACUGUGUCUAGCUUGGUUUAAGAAAUGAGUUCAAAGGUCGGUUGAGGCGGAUCGUAGCCGUACAAGGCUUUGAAUGGGUACAUUUUCAAAGAACUGUGGUAAUUUGAAUUGUAUCAGAACUCCAUCUGGGCUAACCAUUUGCUCCAUUCUGCUGGUUUAUGACCCGUCAUACAUCUCAGAACACAGAUGAAAUCCAUGGCAACAUGUUCCUAGGCCCUCUUUGGGAUAGGUAAUGGCUGUAAUAAUCUUGGGUGCAGACAUUCGCUUUGGUGAUCCGACAGCUUAAGAUUUCCCCUCUGCUAUUUGGAGAACUCCAUUGUUCUGGAGUCCAGAAUUUGGUACAAAUCCUUCUCGGAUAUAUAUUUAUAUGCCUAUGUGGACUAAGGGUACGACGGGGCCCUGUCCCGUCAUAUGUUACGUUACUGUUGAUACUCUUAGAGGUCUGUGGACAUAUGUGUGGGUUGUGUAUGGGUUCUGUUCAGCUGUGUCUAUACGAUGUGUUGUGGUAUGAUGUUCGUAUAUGAUGGCGGCCUUGUCGGCUUGCAUAUGAUAUUAUUAUAUGAUGGCAGCCUUGUCGGCUUGCAUUUAUAUGAAUAUUUAUAUGACAGUUCUGACACCAUGGUUUGGUCGUUAUAAGAUCCAUAUUGAGUUUGA